rnacentral:rRNA from 1 species
CAAUAGCGUAUAUUAAAGUUGUUGCAGUUAAAAAGCUCGUAGUUGGAUUUCUGGUGGGAGCGAUCGGUCUGGCGCUUAGCGCGAGUACUUGCAUCGUCUCCGGCCAUCCUUGGGGAGAGUCUGUCUGGCAUUAAGUUGUCGGGCAGAGGAUCCUCAUCGUUUACUGUGAAAAAAUUAGAGUGUUCAAAGCAGGCUUAUGCCGUUGAAUAUAUUAGCAUGGAAUAAUAAGAUAGGACUUUGGUACUAUUUUGUUGGUUUGCGCACCAAAGUAAUGAUUAAUAGGGACAGUUGGGGGUAUUCGUAUUCCGUUGUUAGAGGUGAAAUUCUUGGAUUUACGGAAGACGAACUACUGCGAAAGCAUUUACCAAGGAUGUUUUCAUUAA